rnacentral:sRNA from 1 species
GAUGCAAGAGUGCUCAUCGCGCAGCAGAACGAGUCGUCUGAUUAGUGUUGUAAUCGAUCAACGUCUUAGAAUUGACACCUGUCGAUAUCUAAUCGAGAUACUAUCUCGUCGCAUAACGGGCGAUUAACCAAAUCAAAACAGUUAACACUUAUCUGAGCCGCAAAUAAUUUUGGUUAGACCUGUUCCCACAUCUAUGGAGUUUCAUCUAGACAGUGCAGAAUACUGCCAGGCACAGCACAAAUAAAAAGUAAUUAAAAUCUAACCCAAGGGGCAUCGUGAUUGCAAGCCUGAUUGAACGCUUUUCAGCGGUCAGAACAGAAGUCAACCGAUCCAACAGAUCAGACGUGGACAGAGAAUCCAAACUGAUAUAUAUAAAUAUAACU